rnacentral:rRNA from 1 species
UAGGGAAUCUUUGGCAAUGGGGGGAACCCUGACCGAGCAACGCCGCGUGAGUGAAGAAGGUUUUCGGAUCGUAAAGCUCUGUUGUUAAGGAAGAACGAGUGUGAGAAUGGAAAGUUCAUACUGUGACGGUACUUAACCAGAAAGGGACGGCUAACUACGUGCCAGCAGCCGCGGUAAUACGUAGGUCCCGAGCGUUGUCCGGAUUUAUUGGGCGUAAAGCGAGCGCAGGCGGUUAGAUAAGUCUGAAGUUAAAGGCAGUGGCUCAACCAUUGUAGGCUUUGGAAACUGUGUAACUUGAGUGCGGAAGGGGAGGGUGGAAUUCCAUGUGUAGCGGUGAAAUGCGUAGAUAUAUGGAGGAACACCGGUGGCGAAAGCGGCACUCUGGUCUGUAACUGACGCUGAGGCUCGAAAGCGUGGGGAGCAAACAGG